UACCGGGGCUAAACAUAUUACCGAAGCUGUGGAUUGUCCUUUGGACAAUGGUAGGAGAGCGUUCUAAGGGCGUUGAAGCAUGAUCGUAAGGACAUGUGGAGCGCUUAGAAGUGAGAAUGCCGGUGUGAGUAGCGAAAGACGGGUGAGAAUCCCGUCCACCGAUUGACUAAGGUUUCCAGAGGAAGGCUCGUCCGCUCUGGGUUAGUCGGGUCCUAAGCUGAGGCCGACAGGCGUAGGCGAUGGAUAACAGGUUGAUAUUCCUGUACCACCUAUAAUCGUUUUAAUCGAUGGGGGGACGCAGUAGGAUAGGCGAAGCGUGCGAUUGGAUUGCACGUCUAAGCAGUAAGGCUGAGUAUUAGGCAAA
rnacentral:rRNA from 1 species